CGGAUAUGCUCCUGUGAGUAAUUUCUUUUGGGUACAUCAAUCAUGAAAUAUCCAACUAAAAACGGAGUGAAACAUGCAAAACCAGAAUCUCAGAUGGAGAUACAACAACUUCCAACUGUUUGGCAUUUGAAGUGGCACAAAGAGGUCACAGACCAGCGUGAUGUAGUUAGAGGGAACAGGCUUUUUAUGUGGUGACUUCCUGGUGUAUCUACUGAGAAAUCACCUGCUACACCUGCAUAAACAAAGCCAUGUCAGUCUCACCCAGACAGGCAGACCGGGGGAAGGAAAGAUGUGUUAUUGAAACAUUGAAAUCACAGCCAUGGGCUUUCUGCAACACCAACAAGCCGUCCUUCUGUUAUCAUCAGAAAUGGCCACAGGAGGACUGCUGACUGGCCAUAUUCUUCAACUGAUCAGGUA